rnacentral:rRNA from 1 species
AUAUCAAUAAGCGGAGGACAAGAAACUAACAAGAAUUCCCCUAGUAACUGCGAGUGAAGCGGGAAAAGCUCAGAUUUAAAAUCUGCCGCUCUUUGAGCCAUCCUACGUUGAAAUUUAGAGAAGACGUCUUCCGCGCUGGAUCGUGCUCAAGUCUCCUGGAAUGGAGCGUCGUAGAGGGUGAGAAUCCCGUCUUUGGCAUGUACACACCAGGGCUUUUGUUAUGCGCUCUCGAAGAGUAGAUUUGUUUGCGAAUGCAGCUCAAAAUGGAUGGUGAACUCCAUCUAAAGCUAAAUAUUGGCGAGAGACCGAUAGCGAACAAGUACCGUGAGGGAAAGAUGAAAAUCACUUUGGAAAGAGAGUGAAGCAGUACGUGAAAUUGUUGACAGGAAAACGCUUGAAGUCAGUCUGCGUCGUUCGAGAGUCACCCUCGCCUCGCCUUGUCGUACUUCUCGACCCGACAGCCCAGCAUCAAUUUCGCCUCUCGGAUAAUGGCGAGGGAAAAGUGACACCUUUACGUCGUGUUAUAGUCCCUCGUCGCACGCUAGCCUCGACAGUGACGAACUCAGCACGCGUCCUCUCCUCUCCGUAUUGUCGCCCACGAUACCUGCUUAGGAUGUUGACGUCAUGUCUUUAAACGA